rnacentral:lncRNA from 1 species
GCAGAGCGCGAGAGGUCCCGUCCGCCCCAGCCGCGUCUGGGCCAGGAUAAAAGCAAAACCAUAUUCCUGCUGCUGUCAGUUAUGAUGCACUGAGAAAACUUCAGAGACCUAAACUUUUUCCAGAGAAGAGAAGCUUUACUGGUGUUCCAGCCCUAAGAAACCUUUGUUCAAGAAAACGGCAGAUGCUCUGUUGAAUCCACUGGAGAUUGUUCUGAUACUAAGGACAAGUAUCAACCAUCUUUCCUGUGAAAAAUUCCCUCUCGUACUUUAGUUCUGUGGAUCCAAAAUUUAUAGCAUUCUUCUACCACCACAGGGGCUCAUAUGACAUUAACAGACAAGACACUUUUCAGAAAGACAGGGAACUGUGGAAGUAAACCAGGGGUGACAUGGAUUAUCAAAUAUUGUGGAUCAGGUUGUUCUUUUGGGCCACAUCUAAGAAAUCUUUGUCUAGCCAAAAGCCACAAAUAAUUUCUCAUUUUUUGGCUUCUGGAAGAUGUACAGUUAAAUGUUAUAUUUGGGACUGUUAUCUAAUUUGAUUAAAUUGCACUCUACAAUAUGAUAUUUGAAUUGAUGAAAAAUUAGUAAAUGUUAAUAUUUUUUAAAGUAGCCAAAUCUUGCAAUUUAUAUAUAAUAGAGAAGACUAGAAAAUCCCCCAUAUUUAUUUCCUCUUACUUCGUACUACUAAAAUUUGUAUUUAGGCAUUUGGUUUCUCAGAUAAACAUUACAUUCCCCAGUAUAUGGUUCUAUCUGGCUUGGUGACGACAUGUUGAACAUUAAGAUGUGAGCAGAAGUAAUACAUACACACUCUUUUUCAUGUCUUUAAUUGAAUGGGAUAUUGGCCCAUUUUUUCUUCCAGUUUAUUACACUGAAUAUUGACAUGUUAUUUUCCAAUAUUGAGACAAUCAAUGACAAGACUUUAAGAGUAACAAUGUAAAAAUACAGAAGUUGUCUGAGUUUAUCAACAAUCCCCUGGAUUAGAACCCCCUACCAGUUCUAGGUCAUCUAAUAUAUAGACAUUGUGUUCAGUAGAAAUAAAUAUAUAUAUUUUUUA